rnacentral:rRNA from 1 species
GCCUGUUUAUCAAAAACAUCGCUCCUUGUUCAAUAAAAAAUAGGGAGUCGGACCUGCCCAGUGAGGUUUUAACGGCCGCGGUACUCUGACCGUGCAAAGGUAGCAUAAUAAUUUGCCUUAUAAUUGAAGGCUGGUAUGAAUGGUUUGACGAGAAUGAAGCUGUCUCUUUGCAACUUAAUAAAAAUUUAUUUACGGAUGAAAAAGUCCGUAUGCCAUUAAUAGACAAGAAGACCCUAUCGAGCUUAAAAAGAAUUAGUGGAGCAAAAUUAAAUUAAACUAAAAAGUUAUCUACUAAAAAUUUUGGUUGGGGCGACUAAGGAACAAAUAAAGCUUCCUUAAAUUACAUUUUGCUUAUCAGCUUUUGAUCCGGAGAUUUUUCGAUUACUAAAAUUAGUUACCGUAGGGAUAACAGCAUUAUCUUUUUUGAGAGCUCUUAUCGAAAAAAAGGUUUGUGACCUCGAUGUUGGACCAGAAUGUCCUAAAGAUGCAGCAGUCUUUAAGGGUUGGUCUGUUCGACCAUUAAUAUUCUACGUGAUCUGAGUUCA